rnacentral:rRNA from 1 species
UACGGGGGGAGCAAGCGUUGUUCGGAUUUACUGGCGUAAAGGGCGCGUAGGCGGUCAGCACAAGUCAGUUGUGAAAUCUCGGGCUUAACUCGGAAAGGUCAACUGAUACUGUGCGACUAGAGUGCGGAAGGGGCAACUGGAAUUCUCGGUGUAGCGGUGAAAUGCGUAGAUAUCGAGAGGAACACCUGCGGCGAAGGCGGGUUGCUGGGCCGACACUGACGCUGAUGCGCGAAAGCCAGGGGAGCGAACGGG